CCCGGGGAGUGCUCGGGUCGCCGCUGCACCCGAUGCUCACGCAGACCAGGGAGACGCCGCGCAAUUCCGCGCCCGGGCCCCCCACCGUUCUUAGUGUGCUGGCUAAACCGAGUAACGGAGUUCAUGGCCGGGGCUGCGACGGUGUCCUUAUGAGGGAACAGUCCCUCAGACGUCGGUCGCUCUGACGGACCUGAACGGUCACCGCUAUGACAAAGAACUCCGAAAUUCAGCUCCCGGGGCUCGACGCUGAAACAGGAGGUCUAACCAACACCUGUCUCUGGCAGCUGAGCGAGAAUGGAUUCUGAAACAGAGUAAAAUGCAAACAGAACUGAACUGGCAGCCACUCUGUGAGAAUGCUGGAUGUAAUUGGUAUCAGAAAUCAGAGGAUCUAGCACACAGCCUGUCUUCAUCAAGAGAGGAGAUAUUUCAGUAUGAUGAUGAAAGUUCUCUGUGUAAAGAUAUGCCUGCUUUGGAAAUAAAAAAGCUGCAGGAACAGAAUGCCAGCCUUCGGGCUGCUAUUGCACAAAUGAGGAAGGAAAUGGAGAGUCUUGAUGAACAGAUGUUGUCCUCUCUUACUCUAACAGAAGACAGACAGCUUGCACAGCAAGGUUCAUUGAGCACCAACAAAAUUUCAACUGAAACCACACUGAGCAACAUCAAAGUCAGUUCAACUAAGUUGGAUUGUGUAGUAAAUCCAAACACAGAAGAGGGGCCAGUACCCAAAGUUCUUGAAGAAAACAUGGUAGAUUUUGGACAACUGCUACCUGAUGUAGGUACCGGUGUUGGUUGUCAGUAUAGUGCCAAACACACCCUACAAGGAAUGCAAAAUAAACUCAAGGAAGCAGCAAGAAAAAUCUCAAUUCUGAGCCAAGAAAAGCGGCAGCUGAUUGAAAUGGGAAACAGACUCAGGGCAGAACUUGGAAUGGUGUUAAAGGAAGGACUCUGGCAUCCUGUUAGAUCUAAGCACUGCACAGUUUGUAUUGCCUCUGGUAGUCUUCUUCCAAGAGAACUUGUCAAAAGAACACAGUGUCAGCUAUCCGUUCUAAAGCAUCUACAGCACAGACUCUCAACACAGGAGCUGCAGUGUGCAAGGCAACAGCAUCUUUCAAGGUUCUCUUCUCCUACUGCCUGCCCUAGCUUAAAGGAAGCUCCAAGCAGCUGUGGGGAAGAAAAAGAAUUACCAUCUGCUGAGAUUCACCCAAGGUUCGGCAAUUUCUUUUUUGAAAAUGAUGAGCCAGAUACAUUCUCAGCAACAAAGGCAGAUACAUCCACAAAAACUGUUCAAACUCAGCUGCUCAGUCAGAGUCCUAGUCAAGUCCUGCAGGUCCAACUUUCUUCGUCUCGAGCGCAUAAUUUCUGUCAAAUUUUAGACACGGGAUCAAGCCUUUCUCUACUCAGUCCUCGAAAGAACAGCAGCCAGGUGGAGUUUGAAGUUGUACAUUCAAUGGAGCAAUCUGAAGAAUCUCAGCAAAAUGUGAAAGCCAAGGAUAAACUUGAAACGUCAUCUGAAGAUUUGACAGUCAGAGGAACAAGGCUGGAAGUUCAGCAGAAGUUAAAAUCUAGAAAUUUAUCUUGUGCUCAUCAAUUAAAACCAAAAAUCUCUUCUAGCAUGGCAAAAAUCCGCAAUUAUAAUAUUAAAGACUGACUUCUAUGUUGACAGCAUGUUGUAGUUUUGCACUUGCUAUUAACUCACUUCGAGAUCUCUAUAUCAGGUCUAAUUAUCAGCCUCAGUUUUGUAUGUUAGGUUGAGAUAUCUGCAGCCAGAAGAGAGAACAAAUACCCUGCUUCGUACACUGAAGCCUAAAAUAAAGGGUUAAUUUGUGUACAUUAUGAGAUUACAGACUUCACUGUUAAUACUGAUUUAUUUUAAUUAUAUAUGUUAAGAUUUUCUUGCAUCAUGGAUUUAGAAAUGCCCAGUUAACACACAGGUAAAGCCUUGUGCCUUCAGGCAGGGCUUGCAGGACUUUAGCAGGUAUUUUGUUGAGAAACUGUAGAUGUGAUUUAAGCUUAGAAGUGAGAUGCCUCAACCUACUUGUCUUCUUCUAAUUAACAAUGCAACCGUUAAUCCUGUGCAGCUAUCUUUCUACUUAAGAAAGAAAGGGGUUUAAAAGCAUUACAUCUGAGUCUGUAUUAUUUCUCAUCUUCUGUAGCUCUUUCCACUUGUUCAGAGAACAUGAAAGAGUAAAAAAUUAAAUUUGUACUGUUACACUAGAUUGUAUUUUCCCUUGGCAACAGAUUGUAGGGACUUGAAAGCAGUGAGAAACACUGCUACCAUGUUACAGUCACAUGCUCAGAAUAGUACAGACAUGUCAUAAGAAGUAAGUCUUAAAACAGAUGAAACUAAAAGAAAACUUGAAUGAGUUGUGAUGUAACAAAGGAUAGCUACGUAGUAAUGAACAUGCCAGGACACUAAUAGGAGUAAUCAGUGUAUUUUUGUAGCAUUUCCAGUAAUGCUGACUGUCCUGGGAUAUUACAGAGAUUAACUUUCCUGUAAGUAAAGGAAAUGCACAUGAAAAAUUCAAGAAAAAACUUUUAAUUGUAGGAAUGGUCCAGCACUAGA
ensembl:lncRNA